ACGCUCGACACCUACGGGGGCAGCAGUGAGGGAUAUUGGUCAAUGGGGGAAACCCUGAACCAGCAACGCCGCGUGAGGGAUGACGGUCUUCGGAUUGUAAACCUCUGUCCUCUGUGAAGAUAAUGACGGUAGCAGAGGAGGAAGCUCCGGCUAACUACGUGCCGGCAGCCGCGGUAAUCUGAGCGGGCUGGCAAGGC
rnacentral:rRNA from 1 species